UCCUACGGGAGGCAGCAGUGGGGAAUUUUCCGCAAUGGGCGAAAGCCUGACGGAGCAAUACAGCGUGAGGGAAGACUGCCUAUGGGUUGUAAACCUCUUUUUUCAGGGAGGAAUAAAAUGACGUGUACCUGAAGAAUAAGCAUCGGCUAACUCCGUGCCAGCAGCCGCGGUAAGACGGAGGAUGCAAGUGUUAUCCGGAAUCACUGGGCGUAAAGCGUCUGUAGGUGGUUUAAUAAGUCAACUGUUAAAUCUUGAGGCUCAACUUCAAAAUCGCAGACGAAACUAUUAGACCAGAGUAUAGUAGAGGUAAAGGGAAUUUCCAGUGGAGCGGUGAAAUGCGUAGAUAUUGGAAAGAACACCGAUGGCGAAAGCACUUUACUGGGCUAUUACUAACACUCAGAGACGAAAGCUAGGGUAGCAAAUGGGAUUAGAUACCCCAGUAGUCCUAGCCGUAAACUAUGGAUACUAGAUGUUGAACAGAUCGACCUGUGCAGUAUCAAAGCUAACGCGUUAAGUAUCCCGCCUGGGAAGUAUGCUCGCAAGAGUGAAACUCAAAUGAAUUGACGG
rnacentral:rRNA from 1 species